GACAGGGAGGAGGAGGGCGAGACAGGAGGCCGCUCCCGGCACUGGCCGCCUGCCCACCGUAAGCUCCGAGGGGCCACUGGCCGUCCUCGCCUGUCUCCCGUCUGCCACUCUCUCCAGGGCCCCCUCAGGAUCCGGGUCUCCACCUCUGUCAUCGCAGCUCCGGCAGCAGGUCUGAGACCUGCCAGGUGAGACAGAGGACUAAGGUGCCUCCUCUGCUCAGCCUUGGAAUUGGGGUUUCCAGGACCUGCUGCAGUGGGGCUGAGCCCCACCCCUGGGUGCAUCUGGGCAGCUCCGCAGAGGCCUGGACACCCCAGGGCCGAUUUACGUUCUUCCACGACGAGGCCCUCUGAGGGGUCCCCAUCUCACCCCCUGCUCUCCAGACCCCACUUGGCAGCCGGGCCCCAUACUGCCUACCUGGGGCUUCAAGUCCCCCAGGUCGAAUGAGCCAGGUGGUGGGCCGGGCUGAGCAGGGGCCUGGAUGGACCUCUGCCCCGGUCCUCAGGGUAAAUGUGGACUCCAGCAGACACGGGGGCUGUGGGGGCUGGACACUCAGCUGGAACCUCAGCCUCCGAAACAAAGCCCAUCCCCGCCCCCAGGACUGCACAGUGACCAGGCAGCAGGGAAGGCUGGGGACUCUUUAUUGCUGUGACCACACAUCCGACAGAGGGUGGGGGCUGGGCGGGCGGCAGGGGGCUCCCCACGGCCCUGAGGGCCCUCUUGUCACAGCUCCUCUGGGAGCCACUGGGGUCCUCACGUGCCCAGGAGCAGGCCGGAGAAGCUGGAGCCACUCUGGAUGGUGAGGGCCGCCCCGGAGCCGUUGUCCACGAAAACAGAGGCGUACUGUCCAGCCUGCAGACACCCCACAGUGGACCUCCUCAGCCAUGGGGCCUGCCCACCCACGGGGAGUAUGUGGCGCACCCACCAAAGCCUGUGAGCCUGGGGCCCAGCCCCCCCAGCCUCCCAGACCCCCAGCCUCACCUGCAGCUGAAGCAGCCCCUGAACCAGCACCGUGAAGAUCCUGCCGCUGCCGUCCAGGCCCGAGAUGGCCUCCAGGGACCUGGACACGGUGUUCAGGGCUGGCGGAGAACUGGAAGAUGGCGGUCACUGGGGCUGUGAACCGGCCGGAGGCCAGGCUCAGGCCAGAGCCCCGCAGGAAGGCGC